UAUUAGGUUGAUCACCUCAUGGGAU
rnacentral:piRNA from 1 species